CGUAGGUGGCAAGCGUUGUCCGGAUUUACUGGGCGUAAAGAGCGCGCAGGCGGUUGGAUAAGUCGAAUGUGAAAGCCCCCGGCUCAACUGGGGAGGGUCAUUCGAUACUGUUCGACUCGAAGGCAGGAGAGGGAAGUGGAAUUCCCGGUGUAGUGGUGAAAUGCGUAGAUAUUGGGAGGAACACCAGUGGCGAAGGCGGCUACCUGGACCGGUACUGACGCUGAUGCGCGAAAGCGUGGGUAGCAAACAGG
rnacentral:rRNA from 1 species